CCUUUACCAGUCACAUAGGAACACCAGGGUUCUGUUUGAUAAGGGAGAACAGCAACUCAGCAUUGCUUUUGCCCAAAACUGGUUCUGGGCAAAAGGGAGGGAGAUGUUCACACCCUGACCAACUGGUCACAGCUUCCUUCAGGGACUCUUGGAUCCAGAGGCCCUCCCUCAACACAAAGAAACAUCUUAUGGGCUAGGCACGGUGGCUCACGCCUGUAAUCCCAGCACUUUGGGAGGCUGAGGCGGGUGGGUCAUUUGAGGUCAGGAGUUCCAGACUAGCCUGGUCAGCAUAGUGAAACCCUGUCUCUACUAAAAAUACAAAAAUUAGCCGGGUGUGGUGGUGCUUGCUGUAAUAGUAAUCCCAGCUAUUCAAGAGGCUGAGGCAGAAUCAUUUGAGCCUGGGGGGCAGAGGUUGCGGUGAGCCGAGAUCGUGCCCCUGCACUCCAGUCUGGGCGACAGAGUAAGACCCUGUCUCAAAAAAAAAAUCUUAUACUAUUAUUUAAACUGCCUUCCUUGUCUUCGUAUUGGCUCGUGGUGUCUGAAAUCAAGAGUUUGUUUGAAUUUUAACACGUGCUCCUGAUGGUGUUGUGUGCCCCUCAGCGGUCAUGGGGCUGUGCUGGUGGCACGUGUGGUGCACACUGGGGCCUUGCUGAUGUGUGAUCCCUGGGUAAGGCCUCUGGUCGUUGGCAUGCUUUGCUUAUAGCUUGGGGGAGUCCCUUCACACCCUGGGCUUAUUAUCCUGAGCAAAACAAGGGUUUGAACUUGGCCACCAUUCUGACCUCUUUCAGCUUAGUUACUGUCCCAUUUCUUUGAGCCUUCAGCCCAGCACCUUAGGUACUUGGUGUGCCACGGUGGGCCAGGCGUGGAGACAGAGUGCUCCCGUCCUCACCUCAGAGUUCAACUCACAAGUUGCCUGGACUUUAAGAUAAUUCAGCUGAUAGAGCAGGAGGUCAUUCCACGUGGGGAUUUCAGAGCCGUGAAGCAUGUGUCUCAGCAGCAGGGCUACGGUCUGCCAGGAGCCCUCUUUGGGAACAGGGCUUUUUCUCUGAAGAGUGGCUGUGCCACGUCUGUGGAGCCCUCCCAGUCACAAGCCUCCAUGGCAUGUGUGUAGGUGGGUUGGGUGAGCCCUCUUGGGCAGUCAGCCAUAGGAAAACCUGUUGAGGGCCUCUGUUAGCCCUUUUGUCAUGGGAAAGGGUGGACUGUUGAUUUGAUUUUUUUGACAUCUUUUCUGAACUCAAGCGACAUAAUCUGUGCUACUACCGGAAACUGACAUGUCUAGGUUUAUGUGACACAAAAUGUCUUUGGUGGCAGGUACCUGUGGUCCUGGGGAACCCGUUAUAGAGAGGGAUGUCCAGUGUGUCCCAUCCUGGGCCUCCCACUUCUCUGGGACCAGAGAAGACCACAGAAAUGAAAAAUCCCAUCACCAACCCAAAGAAAGGCCAGCAGAGACCUGUCCUGGGAGCCUGUCAUCUGGCGGCCCUUCUUCCCAAGGGCGGACCUGUUUCUCAAGGGCUGGGGCCUGCAUUGUCUUGGAGUGGUCCAGGAUGUGGCCUUGGCCUGCAGGAGCCUCAUGCUGGGGUCGAGUAGAACCUUAAGUUUUUACGAGAGACAUCUUCAGGGGAACUUGCAAGUCGGGUGCACAGGGCAAAGGGUAGAAAACCAGUCCUUAAAAGCCCAGGAUGGGCACUGGGUAAGUAGGCCAAUCCUGAACCGGAAAGAAUCUAUGUGGUUCAGAACGGGAGUUCUCCACCCGGCACUGGUGUCAUUGGUAGUGAUGUGUUCUCUGCGCGGUAGAUGUUAGCAGCACCCCUGCCCCCAGUUGUGAUUCUCAAAAUUUUCUUCAGACAGUGCUGAAGGCCCCUGGCAGGCAAAGUUGCUUCCCCUGUGGCCUCUGGCUUAAGAGAGUAAAGAAGCCUAUACCUACCUGUUUCUGCCCAUGUACCUUCUCUAGAAUCCUGGAAACUAAACAGGAUUUCAGAAAUGGACUUUCUCCCAUUCAGGGUUCAAACGCACCGCCAUGUCUCUGACCAUUCCAAAACGUAGGUCAGAUCUUCUGUGUUAAAUGCAUGCCUGGUGGAUGCUGUAAAGAUUUUUUUUUUGUAAGAUGGAGUCUUACUCUGUUGCCGAGGCUGGAGUGCAGUGGCACGAUUUUGGCCCACUGUAACCUCCGGUUCAGGCAAUUCUCCUGCCUCAGCCUCUGGAGUAGCUGGGAUUAUAGGCGUGACCCACCACGCCUGGCUAAUUUUUAGUAGAGACGGGGUUUCACCAUGUUGGCCAGGCUGGUCUUGAACUACUGACCUCAGACGAUCUGCCCACCUCGGCCUCCCAAAGUGCUGGGAUUAUAGGCCUGAGCCACUGCGCCCGGCUGGAUACUGUAAAGAUCUAAAGAGCUGCAUUUUAGAAAACAAAUUCUGUCCAGGAAGGCAGAACCUAGUUCUGGUGGUGGUUUUUGAGUUCAUUUUGAGACUAAAUGGGGGAGUUGACAAAUAAUGGGAAGGAAUCACUUCACCCAGAAACCUCCAGAUCUUGCUGCCGCCCAGCCUUGGGCGGUGUCUGCGGUAGGUGACACAGAUUGUCCUGCUGUCUCUGAAAGGGGCAGCAAGCACCACUCAUUGUGGAUUUCCUUCCUUUCAUAUGAGAGUCAAGCGAUGGUGCCAGGUUCUGAUCUUGCUUCCAUUUGCCUGAUGAGGGCUGCCUUCCAGGAGAAAGCUCCAUGCCAAGUGCAUUCUGUUCUCUGCAGCUUGGAAGGAGUGAACAUUAAAAACCUAUCAGUCACUGCCCACAGCAGCCCUGGGCAGUGGGUACUGAGCUCUUCAGCCUCAUGUUGCAAAUGAGGAAACUUGAGUGUAGAAGGCUGUAUAACUUCACAGAGAACACAGACUUGAACUUGAGCGUUUUAGCCCCCCCAGGCUACUGCUGCAAGCAGCUGUCUGCUCCCAGAGAAGGAAAUAGCGGCCAUGCUACAUGGCCUUCAGCCGUCAGUAGUGUGCCCUAGAUGCUUCCACUCGUCCAGAAUCUGACUGGGACAAUAGAUUCAAUACCUAAAAUAGCAGAAACAGACUAAACUUAGCUAUGUUGGUGGUAGACUUGGAUAGACACCUAGUUUUUACCAGAAUUGGACUGGCGGGCAAAACCCAGGGACUGUCGUAACUGCUCUUCCCAAUCCUAAUAUCCCCUAAAGGCAGCUUUAGACCACCCCCUCCUUGGGUCACCCCUCAGCAGAGGACAUUUACUUAGUUCACAGCUGUUUGUCAUCCUACAAGAAACUUUUUCAAAAUCCAAAUAAUGAAAUUAUCUAGAAACAUUUUACAGGUUUGUUUUUUUUUUUUUUGAGAUGGAGUUUUGCUCUUGUUACCCAGGAUGGAGUGCAAUGGCACCAUCUCGGCUCACCGCAACCUCCACCUCCUGGGUUCAGGCAAUUCUCCUGCCUCAGCCUCCUGAGUAGCUGGGAUUACAGGCACGCGCCACCAUGCCCAGCUAAUUUUUUGUAUUUUUACUAGAGACAGGGUUUCACCAUGUUGACCAGGAUGGUCUUGAUCUCUUAACCUCGUGAUCCACCCGCCUCAGCUCCCAAAGUGCUGGGAUUACAGGCGUGAGCCACCGUGCCCGGCCUUGCAGUUUUAUACAUAAUCAUUUUAGGGUUGAAUUGCUAAAAACUUCAUAAAAUUUUCUAUUUGCAUUAAUACCCAGUUCCCACUUUUUUUUUUUUUGAAAUGGAAUCUUGGUCUGUUACCCAGUCUGGAGUGCAGUGGCGCGAUGUUGGCUCACUGCAACCUUUGCCUCCCAGGUUCAAGCAAUUCUCCUCUUAGCCUCCCAAGUAGCUGGGAUUACAGGCGCCCAUACCAUGCCCAACUAAUUUUCUGUAUGUUUGUAGAGACAGGGUUUCACGGUGUUGCCCAGGUUGGUCUCUAACUCAGGCAGUCCAACCGCCUCGGCCCCUCAAAGUACUGGAAUUAUAGGCGUGAGCCACCACGCCUGGUCCCACAUGUAUAUUGAAACUUGACAGGUCAGAAUGGAGCAUGUCUUCGUGUAUCUGGCCUUGUCCCGCAGUGUUUUAUUCCCACACAUUGGUCUAGCUGUCUUUGGGCACCAUGAGGGGAAAGCGUCAAGUGUUCAGACUAUACAUAAGCGGCAGGAGUGGCCGCUUCCCAUGUGACGGCGCCUGACCAGGGCAUCAGGGUGUCCCCGAAUGACUGGCACACUUGGGUGUGGGCAGCUUUGGGUCUUUGUUUUCAAACCCAUUGGCUUCACUUGUUCCUGCAAAAACACCAGUAGCAGUAAGUCCACUGAGAGCCAAGAGCAUGUUGCUUUUAUUGUGUUUCAUCUGUUCGCUAAUGCCAUGGAUGAUGGGGCACAUUGUUACUCAUAGCUAACAAGAGAGAUACCAUUCUGCUGAGAUGUUUUGGGGGAAAAAAUAAAUGGGCCAGGUGCAGUGGCUUAUACCUGUAGUCUCAGCUACUCAGAAGGCUGAGGUAGAAGGAUGGCUUGGGCUCAGGAGGUUAAGGCUGCAGGGAGCUGUAAUGGCGCCAGUGCCUUCCAGCAUGGGUGACAGAGCAGGAUCCCUGUUAAAAAAAAAAGAGAGAAAGAAAGAUGGUGUCAUUAAAUACACCUUCAGUUACAGAUGGAUUGUGAGUCUAUGCCACAUGUCUUUUGAGUACAUGAAAGUUUUAGUGUUACGUGAUGCAGUCUGUAUUCUGUAACUUCUUUUGACCCAGAGUAUUCCUGAGAUUCUUCCCCACAGAUUGCAGCUGUAGGUAGUUGAUUUUCAUUGUUUGAUCAUCUACAUAGCUCUAUAAAGUAGCUUCCUCUUAUGCAUUGUGUUGAGCCCUGGGGAGUGUCUAGCAUUUGCUCUUAGGGACAGUGCUUUUGUGCAUAUCCUGUCCAUGUGUCUGGGGCACAUGUGCGAGCACCUAUAUCUGAAGGUGCAGUGGCUGCUUCUUGGCGCAUGCAAGUGUCCAGUUCUGCAAGAUAAUGCAGGAGUCCGCAUAUUGAUACAUAUCUAUUUUUCUGAGGUGGUUGUACAGAUUUCCAUUUUCCCCUGCAGCACAGCAGAGUUUUGUGUCACCCACAUCACCCUCAGCCUCACAACGCUGUUCUCAGCAGGGCAGGGGAAUGAUGAAAAAGGCAGAAAUAAAAGUGCUAUUACUGGUGGCAGGCGGUGGUGGCGGCGGCCAGGGAGGCUGCAGUGCAGUCACUGCUAGCCGAGCCGAUUGCCAUCCGGCCCAGGUCUGAUGUGCGGGCCCGGCGGUGCCGCAGCCCAUGGAGCUCGAGAACAUCGUCGCGAACACGGUGCUACUCAAGGCCCAGGAAGGUAGCAAUGGGAAUCACAAAGGCAAAAGCAAGAAAUGGCGGCAGAUUCUCCAGUUCCCCCACAUCAGCCAGUGUGAAGAGCUGCGGCUCAGCCUUGAGUGUGACUACCACAGCAGGUGCAAGUGGCAGCCCAUCAGGCGCCUGCUCUUUCGAGAGUUCUGUGCCACGAGGCUGGAGCUGAGCUACUGCAUCACCUUCCUGGAUGGGGUGGCCGAGUAUGAAGUGACCCCAGAUGAGAAGCGGAAGGCAUGUGGGCAGCAGCUGAUGCAGAAUUUUCUGAGCCACAUGGGCCCUGACCUCAUCCCUGAGGUCCCCCAGCAGCUGGUGAUGAACUGUGCCCACCACUUGACUGGUGGGUGCUAGGCUGCCUCCUGUACGAAAUGAUCACAGGCCAGUCACCCUUCCAUCAGAGGAAGAAGAUCAAGCGGGAGGAGGUGGAGCGGCUGGUGAAGGAGGUGCCCGAGGAGCAUUCAGAGCGCUUUUUCCCACAGGCCCGCUCGCUCUGCUCCCAGCUCCUCUGCAAGGAUCCCGCCGAACAUCUAGGGUGUCGUGGGGGCAGUGCCCGUGAGGUGAAGGAGCACCCCCUCUUUAAGAAGCUGAACUUCGAGCAGCUGGGAGCCGGCAUGCUGGAGCCACCCUUCAAGCCUGAUCCCCGGGCCAUUUACUGCAAGGAUGUUCUGGACAUUGAGCAGUUCUCCACUGACCAGGACUUCUACCAGAAGUUUGCCACAGGCAGUGUGCCCAUCCCCUGGCAGAAUGAGCAGAUGGUGGAGACAGAGUCUUCCCGGAACUGAAUGUCUUUGGGCUGGAUGGCUCAGUUCCCCCAGACCUUGACUGGAAGGGCCAGUCACCUGCACCCCCUAAAAAGGGACUGUUGCAAAGACUCUUCAGCGACAGUGAGGAAGAGCUCCCCACCCGCCUGUAGCCCUGAGCCUGAGGCCCCCACCGGCAGUUGGUGUUAGCAGCUACUCCAAACGCUGUUCACAGUUUUGCACAGUUGUCUUCCCCAUUGUCCACUCAAGUCGUGGCCUGGGGAACACAGACGGAACUGUUGCCAGCGUCCUCCGCCCCUCAGCCCCUGGCCUGGCUGAGUGGCAAGGCCUGGGCUGUCCCUGGGACAAAGGUGCGUCCCUUCGGCUCUUCUCCAUGAGGCUUGGGGCUUUCUGUAUUUAUACGAAUAUAUAUAGCGACCAGAGUGUUCUUAAUUCCCACCGCAGACCUGGCACCCCUGCCUUGGCUCCUGAGGACAGCCAGCCCUGGCUGGGAUAGUGGGAGCUGGCAGAGGAGCCACUGCCAAACUCAAGGCUCCUCCGGCCCAGUUUGGAUGGCUAAGGGUGGUCACAGCCCUGAGCCCUCAGCAGUGUGCUGGGCUGCCCCCCUGUACCCCACCAACCUCUAAGUAAGACUCAUGCCUGCCCCUGCUGCCCUGGGCUCAGGCUGCUACCCUGUGGGGCCCAAAGCUGUCCCUUCUCAGUACUUGUCAGAGCUGGAUCUGGGGCCUCUGUAUCCCCUAGGCCUGUGCCAAAGUGGCCAGAGAUUGGGCUGGCUGUUGAGACCCAUCAGUCCACUGCCCCAGCCGGCCCAGAUAGGUCUGCUUCUGCCUUCCAGCUCCUAGGACCUGGUCCCCGAUGCCGGGCCCUGUGUUGAAGACACCUCUUUCAGAAACGCCCAAGCCCAGCCCCUAGGAGGGGGCGGGGCAUCCCUGGACAACCCUCUAACAUUCCAGACUCCCCUCAUAACAAUAGAAACAUGUGCCCAGCCAAAAAAAAGAAAAUGGCAUGUGAUGUGAUGUAAUUUUCUACAUGGGGAUCUCAGAACAGAUUAGAGAGUUUAGCAAGUUUAAGAUCAGAAUAUUAAAUCAAUUCAUUUUGUUAAACCAACAACAAUUAGUUAUAAAAUUAGUUUGGAAAAUACUGCUUACAGUAGCAAAAACAUAUCUAGGGAUAAAUUUUAAGACAGAUGUAUGUGCAUAAAAUGUGUAAACUUUAUUGAAGAACAUUUAAGGAUGAUUUGCCUAAUUCUCCUCCAUGUUGAGAGAAGGAAAGAUGCCAGGUGUCAGGUUUCCCAAAAUUGUUCCUAACACUCAGUGUUCCCAUCAAAAUCCAGGCAUUUCUCUAAUAUGACAAGGUAACUAGAAUUCACUGAGGAGAGUGCAGGGCCAGGGUUAAUUAAAACACUUUUGAAGAAGAGGCGCAUUUGCCCUGCAAACACCAGAACUUACUAUAAAACUGUCAUGAUGAAACUGUGUGUAGUUCUGACCACAAGAAGGGCUUAGAAAGAGUGACAGCCCAGAACACUGAGCAUGCCUGGCCUUGAGGUUUUCAAAGUAUCAUUCUCUGUUAAGAGGAGCCCGAGAUUGGGCCCAGUGGCUCAUGCCUGUAAUCCCAGCACUUUGGGAGGCUGAGGCAGGCAAAUCAGGAGAUCAAGACCAGCCUGGUCAACAUGGUGAAACCCUGUCCCUACUGAAAAUACAAGAAUUAGCUGGGCGUGGUGGCGCUUGCUUGUAAUCCCAGCUACUUGGGAGGCUGAGGCAGGAGAAUUGCUUGAACCUGGCAGUUGGAGGUUGCAGUGAGCUGAGAUCAUGCCACUGUACUCCAGCCUGGCGACAGAGCAAGACUCCGUCUCAAAAGAGGAGCCCCAAGUGUUUGGAGAGAGAAGCAGCUGAUUCUAGGGGUGUUGCAGAAAGAAGGAAGGCGAAUCUGGAACACAAGGAAUUAUACCAUAUUGGAGUGGAGAAUGGGAAUUGGAGAAUCCAUAAUGCUGCAUAUAGAGAGAAAAUAAUUGGCAAAGGUGUAAUAAGGUUGAGUAUGUGAAAGACCCAAAAUCGGAAACUUUUUGAGUGCUAACAUGCUCAACGGAAAUGCUACUUGGAACGUUUUGUAUUUUCAGAUUAGAGAAGCUCAACUGUGAAGUAUAAUGCAGCUGUUGUUGGGAGAAUCUGAGAGUAGAUAUGUAUUUGCUUAUGUAUAUCUGAUACACAUUUUCAGAUUUAUAUAUACAACUUUUAAAAUAUAAACAUAGGUACAAGACCCAAAUCAAACAUAAACACACAUGUAUGUAUAUGCCUCAUGCCUUUUUUUUUUUUCUUCAAAUUUUUUGAGACAGGGUCUCAUUCUGUCACCCAGGCUGGAGUGCAGUGAUACAAUCACGGCUCACUGCAGUCUCGACUUCCUGGGCCCAAGAGCUCCUCCCACCUCACCCUCCCGAGUAGCUGGGACUGUAGGCACACAGCACCAUGCCUAGCUAAUUUUUUUUAAUUUUUUUUGUAGAGACAGGGGUUUUACUGUGUUUCUGGUCUCAACUGGGGCUCAGGUGAUCCUCCCACUUCCACUUCCAACAUGCUGGGAUUAUAGGCCUAAGUCUAGCCAGUUAUAAAAGUUUUUGACGUAGACUGCAGUUGAAAUCUGUAGUAACUUUCCUUGGCUUUCUCUGCUGGUGUGAACAUUCUAGUCCAUUUCAGUUAAUGUCUUACUCCAGGUUUGUUCUGUACUUAGAUGCUGGACAUCGAGAAUGUGGCAUGUGCUGUGCACUCUAUGUUCCACAGGCUGCUCCUCAGCCCCGUCUGGGAUGAGGUUGGGCUGCAUGGGUCUGUUCAAUCUGGCGUUUGUGCUUAUGCUUCCAACAGUGCACCAGGGUAGCCCAGGGCCCACUCUCCUGGCUCCUUCCUGCCUUUCAGGCAUGCUGUCAUUGGCCUGGGCCUGAGGUUCUGGAAACUGCCCUGUGACGUAGGAGGCUUUAUGGUUUUUGUUUUUCCCUCAGUUACUUAAGGUUUUGAGAGCAAAUAGGGCCCUAAUACUGUUUUUGUUAGAAGUAACUUUUACACUUUUUUGGUUUUUUUUUGAGAUGGAGUCUUACUCUUUUGCCCAAACUGGAGUGCAGUGGCACGAUCUUGGCUCACUUCAACCUCUGCCUCCUGGGUUCAAGUGAUUCUCCUGCCUCAGCCUCCUGAGUAGCUAGGAUUACAGGUGCCUGCCAUCAUGCCAGGCUAAUUUUUUUGUAUUUUUAGUAGAGACAGGGUUUCACAAUUUUGACCAAUAUGGUCUUGAACUCCUGACCUUGUGAUCCGCCCACCUCAGCCCCCAAAGUGCUGGGAUUAAAGGCGUGAGCCACUGCACCCGGCCCGUUAGCCUUUUAAGUGUUGGUUAUGCCUUCAGCACUGAUACUGUUCAUCCAUCUUUAAAUUUUUCUUGUUGGAUUUAUUGUGUCUUUAUUCUCACUUCCCUUGAUUUGUAGAUUUCAAGCCUGGGUUACUGUGUAAAUCCUCAAGAAGUUUUCAUUGCUUUUACUUUUCUCUUAUCCAGUCAAAUACUUCUACCAACAUGAGAGUAGUUGAACAUAUUUUCUUCUCUAACCUUAACCCAUGGUAGCUGCUUUCUCUCCUAAACCCCCUCCCCUCUAUAUUGUGACAUCUGUGGCAGGCUCCGCUGGUCCUUUCUGCCUGAGCACUUUAUCCCCUGCAUUGCUGCUGCUUCCUGUGUCUCCCACCCCCCCUGCCCUAGAAGGCUGGAGUCAGGGAGGUGGGGCUUUGAUCCCCUCUUUGUCCCCCUUGCAGCUCCUGCUUGCUUGGCCCUCAUCCCACAUCUGCCUUGGGCUAUUUGCUAACCGAUGGGGCUUUAUCUCGAGGAUGGGUCCCUGAGGACAGGCAUUGCUGGAGUCUUCUGCCGCCACUACCUCUCUCCCAUUCGGGAUUGUCACCAUGACCCUUGGUGCGCAUAACGGAGACUCAGUGUGGAACUGAGGCGGGACAUGGACUGAAAUGCUGUGUCUGAUUUCCUC